CGCCUCUUGUGUUAUUAUAAGAGGUCCAGCCUGCCCAGUGACUUUGUUCAACGGCCGCGGUAUCCUAACCGUGCGAAGGUAGCGUAAUCACUUGUUCUUUAAAUAAGGACUAGUAUGAAUGGCACCACGAAGGUUAUACUGUCUCCCUUUUCUAAUCAGUGAAACUAAUCUCCCCGUGAAGAAGCGGGAAUAAAAAUAUAAGACGAGAAGACCCUAUGGAGCUUCAAACAACAUAGCAUUUAUCAUAACCUCCUCUAACUCCCGAGUUAUACUCUCAAUAGAUAAUAUGACUAUAAGUUUUCGGUUGGGGUGACCACGGAGCAUAACAUAACCUCCAUGUUGAAGAAAUCUAACUCUAAACUAAGAACCACGCUUCUAAGAAUCAAUACAUUGACAUUAAUUGACCCAAUAUAUUUGACCAACGAACCAAGUUACCCUAGGGAUAACAGCGCAAUCCACUUCCAGAGCCCCUAUCGACAAGUGGGUUUACGACCUCGAUGUUGGAUCAGGGUCUCCCAGUGGUGCAGCCGCUACUAAAGGUUCGUUUGUUCAACGAUUAAAACCCU
rnacentral:rRNA from 1 species